rnacentral:misc_RNA from 1 species
GUGAAUCAUCGAAUCUUUGAACGCAAAUUACACUCUCCUCGGAGAGUAUGCCUGUUUGAGGGUCAGCCUCUAAAAAUCUACGUCGCUGUUGUUUUGCGGCGGUGUUCGUCGGCAAUCGGGACUUCUUAAAUCCUUUUGUUUUAAGCGACUUAAAAUAUUCUUUUGGUUCUAUGAACGUUUCUAUGAUCUAUUUCUCUACACGUUUCAGGUAUCGAUUUUUACUAGACGUGACCUUCAUAUCGGAUCGC